GCCACCCUAGCUCAGUUGGUAGAGCAAUGCUUUCGUAAAGCAUAGGUCGUCGGUUCGAAUCCGAUGGGUGGCU
rnacentral:tRNA from 1 species